rnacentral:tRNA from 1 species
UAGCCUAGUGGUUAAGGCUAUGGGUCGUCAAUCCAGAGACGGCGGGUUCGAUUCCCGU